rnacentral:lncRNA from 12 species
GGCCUUGCACCCCUUUCCUUCAUCUAACAGAAAAUGACACAUUUAGCACCAAGGCUCAAAACUGCCCUCAUUCUUGCACCUCGAUAUUAGCUUUGAUCUUGGGGAUUUAAUGAAAGACAUAGUAGAAGUAGUUGUCCUAGAGGCCAAUACUGUAUAAAGUGAGGUUGACCAUCCUUUCAAAAAUGUCUUUCAUGUGUUAAAAUUUAAGUAGGCAUAUAAUUUUCCUUACUAUAAGAUUCCCUCAUAUUUAGGCUGUCAGGCUAUAGAUUACAGCAUUGAUCUAGGAAACAAAAAUACUAGUGUUCUUAUUUUGUCCUGUAACUCCUUGUCAGGCUCUGAAUAAUAAGGUAUUUAACUAUUUUGAAUUUCAAUUUUUAAAUUCUGCAAUGGAAGUACAAUCUCAACUAUGCAGUCGAGUGGUGAGAAUCUCUUGAGGCAGUGUUUGGAAGGCAUUUGACAAGAAUAAAGAUCUAUUCAACCAAGUAAUACAAUUUCACCCUUAGUCUAUUAUCAUAGAUUCUUAAAUCUAAAAUGAGGAGAACAUUUAACACCAAGUCUUGAGUAGGAUCAGAGUACUCUCUCCUCUGGAUGUUUUUGGAUGACCACUGAAAGUUUUACCAUUUCCCACUUUCCUUAAACCUUUGUUACCAACAAACUGUUAUGGCUGUGACUAUUGAGUUAUGCAAAUAGCAAAGAGUUACUACAUUCAUUAAUGCAAACAUUUUCUGCUUCGACUGUCCUCUGGCUACAUAUAUUUUACUUGAUUUGAUAUUUGUGUUGCCAGGCCUUUACUAUCCACAAGUUUUUCAGCUAUCUCUAUGGAUGGGGCAUAUCUUCAGCUCAUGGACUUAUCCGUUUUGUACAUCUUUCCAUUUCAGAGGUGACAUCUUGUGUUCUUCAAAUUGUUAAGGACCUAAGGUCCUUGGCAGCAGCAAAUGAAAACUAUGCCAGCUAAAGCUCAGGGAAACCGUAUAAGCAAUGAGGAUGUGAAAGGAGAUACAGAAUUCAUGACCAGGAUCAAAGAAGCAGUGUACAUUCCACUCUUUGUCUAAUGCUAUUAACAGUGGUGAACGCUAGGCAUCACUUCUGGAAGCUUGUGAAGAUAAGAACAAUAUGAUGCACAGCAACUCAAAGAUCCUAGAGUCCCAUCCUUAAUAACAAAACUAUCAGCCUCUUAAGGACCAUAAGAUGGUAAGAACUGAAACCAUCUGUAGCCACUAGCA